rnacentral:misc_RNA from 1 species
AAGAAGAAGAAGAAGAAGAAGAAGAAGAGUGGUCUGCCAAGUGCUAUGGAAGGUAUAGCAGUAGAAUUGCAUUGCCUGAGAACAUUGAGUUUAAGAAUAUCAAAGCUGAGGUUAAGGAUGGAGUCUUGUAUAUAAACAUCCCUAAAGCUAGUCCCACUGGCAGGAUUCUUGAUAUCGAUGUCAAGUGAUGAGUUUAGUUUAUAUAUGCAAAUAGCUUUUUGGUUUACUGUAAAAAUUUCCUUGGUUUUUGUUGGUUUAACAUUGAAGAAAUGUCUUGGAUGUAAACAGAACAGUUGUCUAAUCAUAUGCUCAUUGAGUGGAUUAGCAUCGUUCAAUUUGUAAAAAAUAUUUAAUUCGACUUUUUUUUUGUUACCUCAGGACAAAGGCCCUGGCGAGAGAAAAGAAAAAGUCGAAUUAAAUAUUUUUUACAAA